rnacentral:rRNA from 1 species
GCGCAGCAGUCGCGAAUACUUUACAAUGUGCGAAAGCACGAUAAGGGAACUCUGAGUGCCUCCUAAGGAGGCUGUUCAGGUGUCUAAAAGCACCUGAAGGAAGGGCUGGGUAAGACCGGUGCCAGCCGCCGCGGUAACACCGGCAGCCCAAGUGGUAGCCACGUUUAUUGGGUCUAAAGCGUCCGUAGCCGGCUGGGUAAGUUCCUUGGGAAAUUUGGCUGCUUAACAGUCAAGCUUUCAGGGAAUACUGCCCGGCUUGGGGACCGGGAGAGGUCAGAGGUACUCCAGGGGUAGGGGUGAAAUCCAUUAAUCCUUGGGGGACCACCGGUAGCGAAGGCGUCUGACCAGACCGGGUCCGACGGUGAGGGACGAAGGCUAGGGGCGCGAACCGGAUUAGAUA